rnacentral:rRNA from 1 species
GAUUAUGGCUCAGAGUGAACGCUGGCGGUAGGCCUAACACAUGCAAGUCGAACGGCAGCACAGGAGAGCUUGCUCUCUGGGUGGCGAGUGGCGGACGGGUGAGGAAUACAUCGGAAUCUACUCUGUCGUGGGGGAUAACGUAGGGAAACUUACGCUAAUACCGCAUACGACCUAAGGGUGAAAGUGGGGGACCGCAAGGCCUCACGCGAUUGAAUGAGCCGAUGUCGGAUUAGCUAGUUGGCGGGGUAAAGGCCCACCAAGGCGACGAUCCGUAGCUGGUCUGAGAAGAUGAUCAGCCACACUGGAACUGAGACACGGUCCAGACUCCUACGGGAGGCAGCAGUGGGGAAUAUUGGACAAUGGGCGCAAGCCUGAUCCAGCCAUAACCCGCGUGAGUGAAGAAGGCCCUCGGGUUGUAAAGCUCUUUUGUUGGGAAAGAAAUCCUGUUGGUUAAUACCCGGCAGGGAUGACGGUACCCAAAGAAUAAGCACCGGCUAACUUCGUGCCAGCAGCUGC